rnacentral:rRNA from 1 species
CCCUUAGAUGUCCUGGGCCGCACGCGCGCUACACUGACAUGUUCAACAAGUUUCUCCUAGUUCGACAGGACUGGGAAAUCUUUGAACGCAUGUCGUGAUAGGGAUAGAUCAUUUCAAUUAUUGAUCUUGAACGAGGAAUUCCUAGUAAACGCGAGUCAUCAGCUCGCAUUGAUUACGUCCCUGCCCUUUGUACACACCGCCCGUCGCACCUACCGAUUGAAUGUUUCGGUGAAGAUUCCGGAUAGGACUGAUUUGAUUUAUUUCAUUUCUGACCUAAAAGCUAUCUAAACCUCAACAUUUAGAGGAAGGUGAAGUCGUAACA